UGUUUGAUUUGAUGACAUUAAUUUUUUAGUCAACGAAUAAAGUGAUCGUGUACGAAGUAUUACUUAUUUAAAACAUAAACUAAAUACAUAACUGACAAAAAAGCUUUAAAAUAAUAUACCAACGUGAACACUACUUUCACAUGAUACAUUUUUUUAUGGAAUACGAUCUAGUGUUUAAAAUAAAAAAAAAACAGUGAAAUUUUAGGUUCAACUUACUUUGAUCAGUGACAAUCUUAUUGAUAGAGAAGUUUCAUCUGAUGGAUUAGCUGCUGACACCAGUAAGGAAUUUAUCUGCUCCAAGAUGUUAUGUUCGUCCAAGGCAGAUGGGUUCAAUUCAGCGGCUGCCAUUCGCGAAAUUCUAUCCUCGGUUCUGGUUAACCAUUGUCUGAGGUCGUCUAACUGGCCUUGCUGCAUCUGCAUCAGGACCUACGAAAUGUUCACAAAUUAAUUUAUUAAACAUGUUUAUAAAUAACACUACCGGUAUAUAUUUAUCAUAACUACCCUACGGACUUGUAUUCGAAAUAAAAACUGUCCACAUUAAUUGCAAAAUACAGAAAUCUCAUUGGCAUUUAUUUUGUUCUUUAAUUAUUUACAACAGUAUUCUGAAGUUUCUUACAUGUUUCUACUGUAUUGUAUUUGAUCUACUAACUGUUCUUAUAAAUGUAAGAUACAGCCAUUUCGCUUCGUUACUGAUUUAGAUGUGUAGGACAAGUUUUGUAAGAAGUGUAGAAUUAAAUUUCGCUAUCUCCCAGAAA